AACAAGCUUCAGCGACCCAUCAUCGUCUCUCUCUUUCGCAGUUCAUGACUACUACCUAGUUGUCUCAUCGCUUAAACCCUAGAACUUAAAAAUUGCAGGGAAAUCAAAAUGUGAAGAACAAGUUUACAUCUUUAGGGGAUUUAGAUUGAGAUCGGCAGGCCUAUUUCUCCUCUUGCUACUUCUGUUGUUAUCCAUCAAUGCUUCAGCUGCUCUACCCUGCGAUUACAAUCGGUGGAAAACUGGAAACUGCUACAGCACAGGCGCUUGCAUUUGUAAUCUCCCCGAUCCUUCCACCAUCUUUGAGGGCAAUCAACCAUUCUUUGGGGGAGGUUUUGCGAUGAGGAGCAGACCAUGUGUGAUGGGACUAAUUCGUUCUGGUGUGAAUAGGGGUGAUCUGCGACGAGAUAGUUCAUGAGGUUAAUUAUACCUGUAAGUGCCUCAGGUUACUGAUUUAAUACUUCAGUAGAUGAAUGAAUCUCCAAAGACCUACCUUGUACUUGCUUUUUUAUUUUUCUGGCAAUGGCAUUUGUGUAACCAUGCAAUGUGGUUGGGAUAUUCUCUAGUAAGCUGAGUAUGAAGAAAUUUUGAUAGAAACAUUCUGUUAUCAUACCUGUUUCUAUAUAUAACUCUGUUUAUCUUUUGAGCC